UAUAGGUAAUUUAGCUGAUUUGAUAUUUGAAUUUUUUAGUGAGUUUUUUUCACCAUUUGAUAAAAAAUUAUAUUUUUUUUAUUUUUAUUGACGAAAAAAUCUAAAGAUAUAAAAAGUUUAUUCAACUUUGAAAAGAAAAAUCCACUGAAUACAAAAAAAAUUAACUUCUUAUGUUUUAAGUGAAAAAAAAAAUAAAUUAGAUAUAAUUUUUUAUAUUUUUAAUUUUUUCUCGUUGAGAGGAAAUGAAAAAGUAUAGUAUUUUAGUAAAAUUGUAAAAAAAUUAUUAAAAAUUAAAAAAAACUAAAUUAGUUAAAAAAAACCUACCCCAAACACGGUCUACUAUUAGUUUAUGGUAAGGGUUGGAAACCACUUUUAAUAUAUAUUUUCAAUUUUCUAUAGGUAACGGCUUUAGCAUUCUCCUUUUUAGUUUUUAACUGAUACAUUUCGUUUUUAAUCUUUAUUAUGCAAAGCUAUCGUAAAAACUCUUAAAACUUUUGUCAAUUAAAAGAAUUGUCUCUACUCAUACUAUUACACUUUUGCUUCUUUCUUCUAUUUAGAGGGAUAGUUUGGACAUUUAUAAAAAAUUUGCACGAUAAAAAUAAAAAAACAUAGUAAAUUUGAUAAAUAAAUAAAAAACAAUGAAGUGUAUAGACGACCACAGUCCUUUUAAAUUUGAUAAAAAAAAUUUAUAAUUUGAGAUGGUCCAUCCAACGUUAACACCCAAUGGAAACUCGGGCAAUGACAAAAUCCUCUGAAAUAAUAAUUGGGUGAAAUAUUUUUGGAGUGUACAAAAUGAUACACUUUAAAAUAACAAAACAAUGUUGUUUGAGUAUUGACCAUAAAACGACAUCGUUUUAUGGUUAAUUAAAAUGAUAUUAUUUUAUUUUUAAAAUAUAAAAAAUAAUAUCAUUUUAUAAACGUCAAAAAUAUAUUUCACCCGUUACUUAUCCGAAUCCAAAUGCAACAACAGCACAUGCUAAAAGGAAAAUGUUAUGGGUACCCUAAUGUUGCACUCCACCAUGAGGUGGAGCAUUGGAAUUGGUUGAAAAAAAUGAGUGAACCCCACACCCAGCCAAUCCCAAUGCUCCACCUCAUAAUGGAGUGCAUUUAGAGUACAAUAUUGGAGUACGCAUAGCACUACCCGAUGCUAAAAGGUUUGCACAAAAAUAAAGGUUGCCCAGCACUUGUUGCCAUUUUCAGCUUUAUUUCGUUUCUUUUCUGAUAGCUCGGUCCUUUUUAUCCACACGUGGCAACUUCUCAUGACUCCAUUACAGUCGGGCUCCAACUCCUAAAUCAACAAUGCUUGGGCAGCCACUAUUUCUUUUUCUUUUUAGGAGUUUUUAUCUAAUUUAGUUUUGGAAUUUGUCAAACUUUACUAAUUUUUUAACUAUUUGAUCAAAAUUUAUAAUUUUUUUGUUGACGAGGUGAGUCAAAAAAUAUUCAAUUUUUUAUUUAAUUUAAAAAAAAAAUAACUAGAGGAAAAAGAAACUAUUCAACAAAUUAACUAUAUUUUUUGUCUUUCGUAAAUUUUUUUUUCGAAUUUGAAUGAGAUUUUGACGUUUUAAAAAUAUCUCUUUAAGAAGAAUCGAAAAAAUAUUAAAUUUUAAUUAAAAUUUAAAAAAAAUAAAAUAAAGUGAAAAAACAAAACACAUAAGUUUUUUUUUUUAAAUAAAUAAAUAAAUAGGCCAAGUUAAGCUCUUGAUACAACUUCAAACACAGCUCUUUAAAAAAAUAUGAGUUCCAGGACUUAUGGUCUCACCUUAAGGCUUGCCUCUUAGAGAGAGUUCUGUUGGUAAAAUGAGUGCAUCUCCAUUGGUAAAGUGAAUACGUGUGCUAGUGAGUGUGUAAGUAUUUAUUAGCUGGCCAACCUCUUUUUUUAUUUUAAUUGAUUUAGUUAAGGGUGUGCUAAAUGGGUCACUCUCUUCCCUGAUACUAGAGUCUUAGCUAAGAGCAUUCCCAUUGCAUAAGUUAAUUUUUUGUGUAUUAAAGUGUUCACAUCUACAAAGGUAAGAAUCAAUUUAAUUUAUUAAAUACUUAGUUAAUUAGUGAAUACGUGCAAACUCCAUUGCACUAGAUAAACAUUAACUAGUUAAUUAACUAAUAAAUAGGUAAUACCUAAUCAUCACUCAUUUAGCCAUACCCGUCACCCAUUUCACCAAUUUAUAUACCUUUUUGAGUGAGAUUUGUCCCACAAAAGUUUGCCAAAAGUGUAGUUAAAGUUGGCUUAAACUAUAACAUAUGAUAACUUUAAAUGGCCCAUUAACGUAUCCAAUGGAGAGAAAAAUAUGUAUUUUACAUAUUAGUUAAUUAACAUUUUAUAUUAACUGUAAUACCCCGACUUUAUAUUUUGUAUUGUAAUUAAAAGAUUCAUAACUUUUGAGAUAAAAUUAAAAAAAAUAUUUAAGUUUAAAUGAGAUAAUAUAAUUAUUUAAAAGUAUGAGGGACAAACAUGUAAUUUUGGUAUAAUUAUAGGGGACAUGGAGUUUUCUCGGAAAAGAGAAAAGUGCAAUGAGUGUGUGCAAUGAGUGCAUGUGGGUGAGGCGUGGGGUGGGGUGAGUGUGUAUAUGGUGUAUGAUGGCCCACAUGGACGCUUUUGUGUUUCUAUAUAUAUGUACUUAGCUUAAGAAGAGAGAGAAUAGAAGAAAGAAAGGAAAGAGAGUUAGAGAGAGGGGACACGGACAGAGGAAAAGAAUGAAAUGGGAGAUAUAGAGAAAUUAUAUAGUGUGGUUAGCAUUUGAUCAUGAAAGAUAGUGACGUAAAUCAACGGUAAAAUGAUGUUGGAUCGAGGUGAAAUUUCAAUAUGUUGUUCAUGGAUGAUAAAUCAACAUAUUUUAUGGUGUCGAUUUCAAUUUGAGGUAAGCAGGAGGUAUAUAAUAUGCUUUCUAACUCCGGAGUACUUUCUAAAAUAUCUGAUUUUUAUUUUUCUUGAGCAUGUGUGUUAUCUAUUGAAAUUUAUGAUAUUUUAUUGGAAUCAUGAUCUGUAUGAUAUUAUUGUAUGAUGGCUAAAUACUAUAGAAUGGAUUGAUACAUUGACUGAGUGGACCCGCUAAUAACGCCACUAAGGACCGGAAAAAGCCAGAAGAGCUAGGAGACGUGGGUGAGGCCGGCCACUAGUAAUGUAUCAAGAAAGUAAUGUAUCAGAAAAAUUGAGUAUGAGGUCCUUCAUGAUUUGAUGAUUCAUUAAGCCCUUCUAAAUUUGUUGUUGAGCCAUUAUUGAUUCAUUGAGUACAUUCCCGUCGUAUUAUAUAUUUCUCUGCUUUAAAAUAAUUUUUCAGACAGACGUAAGAGUUCUGAUAGUACGAGAUGGGUCGGGUGAAAAGACUUGACGAUUUUAUAUUUUGUAUUAAUUAUUUUUGGAGACAUUGUAAAAAAAUAAACAUUUGAAAACUAUUGAAUAUUUGAGGAAAAUAGUGCUCUGAUUUGUAUUUGAUGAAAAUACGGCAAAAAUGGAUUAAUUAACGGCCGGGAGGAUCGGGUCGUUACAAUUAAUAUCAGAGUUUAGGUUUUAGAUCUUACAUGUGACUGGUGUGGGAGGUUUGAGCGAUAGAUGUUACAUUAGAUCGUAUGAGAGAUAAGAACUUUUAGGUAGCAGAGUAUUUUUUUUUGUAUCAAAGUAUGUUUUUGGUAUCGGAGUAUUUUUUUAGAGUGCACAGUGGAAGCGUAUAUUCUGAUAUUGACACAAAAUAGGACUUUCUAAAUUUCGAGGAUGAAAUUAUUUUAAGAGAUGAAGAUUGUAAUACCCCGACUUUACGUUUUGGGUUAUAAUUGAAAGAUUCAUAACUUUUGAGAUAAAAUUAAAAAAAAUAUUUAAGUUUAAAUGAGAUAAUAUAAUUAUUUAAAAGUUAGGGGGAUAGAAGUGUAAUUUUGGCAUAAUUAUUACCGGGGAACAUGGAGUUUUUGCUUUUGGUGGAAAUAAAAGAGAGAGAAAAUGGGAGAAGAGAAAGAAAUAAAAGGAAGGAGAGACAAAAUGAUGGAGUAUUUUUGUGUAUAUAUAUAAGUAAUAUAUAAAGAUAUAAAUAGAAAGAAAGGAAAAUGAUGGCCACAUAACCUUAUGUUUAUAUUUAUAUAGAUACACCAUUUUCUUUUCUCUCUUUAUAUCUUUAUAUAUUAUUUAUAUAUAUACACAAAAACACUCCAUCAUUUUAUCUCUCCUUUCUUUUUUUUCUCUUCUUUUCUCCCAAUUUCUCUCUCUUUUAUUUCCAUCGAAAGCAAAAACUCCAUAUCAUCUGUCAUAAUUAUGCUAAAAUUACACUUCUGUCCCUCUAAUUUUUAAAUAAUUAUAUUAUCUUAUUUAAACUUAAAUAUCUUUUUUAAUUUUAUCCCAAAAGUUAUGAAUGUUUCAAUUACAACCCAAAACGUAAAGUUGAGGUAUUACUAUGUAAAGAGAGAAGGGAUAAAGAUGGACAAAGAAAACAGAGAAAGAAAGCAUAGAGUAGGGAUAGCAAUUUUCCUUGCCCCACUCCAUUCCCCGCCCCGAUCGGAGUGAAUUUUCGAGAAUUUUUCGGGGAUCGGAGAUUAAAAAAAAAAUCGGGGACGGGGCGGGGAUGAUUUUUUAUAUCCCCGCCCCGAUCCCCGAAAAGUUACCCCGAAAAUGUUAAAAUUAAAAAAAAGAGUUAAAACUUAAAAAUACUGAAAGUUAAGGGGAGCACAGUGAAAUUAACCAUAAUAGUAAUAUCUAUCUAUCUAUCUAUCUGUUUCCAGAGAGAGAGAGAGAGAAAGAGAAGUACUUCGUUUCCAGAGAGAGAAGACCGCUGUACAUACUUUGUUUCCAGACCAAGGGGACAACAGCGGACUGCCGGACGCCGGAGGCCGAAGGGUGCGAUUCAAGGGCCGAUGGAUGCGAUUCAGGCGCUAGAAGGUGCGAUUCAAGGGCCGAUGGGUGCGAUUCAGCCGACGAAGGGUGCGAUUCAAGCGAUGGAGUGGUCGAUUCAAGCGAUGGAGGGUCCGAUUCAGGCAGUGGAGAGUGCGAUUCAAGCACGUUGCUCCACAGACCCUUAAGG
rnacentral:lncRNA from 1 species